rnacentral:rRNA from 1 species
AUUGAACGCUGGCGGCAGGCUUAACACAUGCAAGUCGAACGAUUGGCGGACGGGUGAGUAAUGUCUGGGAAACUGCCUGAUGUAGGGGGAUAACUACUGGAAACGUUAGCUCAUACCGCAUACCAUCGGAUUUGCCCAGAUGGGAUUAGCUAGUAGGUGGGGUAACGGCUCACCUAGGCGACGAUCCGUAGCUGGUCUGAGAGGAUGACCGGCGACACUGGGACUGGGGCACGGCCCAGACUCCUACGGGAGGCAGCAGUGGGGAAUAGUGGACAUGGGGCGCAAGCCUGAUGCAGCAAUGCGGGGUGUAUGAAGAAGGCCUUAGGGUUGUAAAGUACUUUCAGUGGGGAGGCGGUACCCGCAGAAGAAGCGCCGGCUAACUCCGUGCCAGCAGCCGCGGUAAUUC